UGAGGAAUAUUGGUCAAUGGCCGAGAGGCUGAACCAGCCAAGUCGCGUGAAGGAAGAAGGAUCUAUGGUUUGUAAACUUCUUUUAUAGGGGAAUAAAGUGGAGGACGUGUCCUUUUUUGUAUGUACCCUAUGAAUAAGCAUCGGCUAACUCCGUGCCAGCAGCCGCGGUAAUACGGAGGAUGCGAGCGUUAUCCGGAUUUAUUGGGUUUAAAGGGUGCGUAGGUGGUGAUUUAAGUCAGCGGUGAAAGUUUGUGGCUCAACCAUAAAAUUGCCGUUGAAACUGGGUUACUUGAGUGUGUUUGAGGUAGGCGGAAUGCGUGGUGUAGCGGUGAAAUGCAUAGAUAUCACGCAGAACUCCGAUUGCGAAGGCAGCUUACUAAACCAUAACUGACACUGAAGCACGAAAGCGUGGGGAUCAAACAGGAUUAGAUACCCUGGUAGUCCACGCAGUAAACGAUGAUUACUAGGAGUUUGCGAUACAAUGUAAGCUCUACAGCGAAAGCGUUAAGUAAUCCACCUGGGGAGUACGCCGGCAACGGUGAAACUCAAAGGAAUUGACGGGGGCCCGCACAAGCGGAGGAACAUGUGGUUUAAUUCGAUGAUACGCGAGGAACCUUACCCGGGUUUGAACGUAGUCUGACCGGAGUGGAAACACUCUUUCUAGCAAUAGCAGAUUACGAGGUGCUGCAUGGUUGUCGUCAGCUCGUGCCGUGAGGUGUCGGCUUAAGUGCCAUAACGAGCGCAACCCUUAUCACUAGUUACUAACAGGUGAAGCUGAGGACUCUGGUGAGACUGCCAGCGUAAGCUGUGAGGAAGGUGGGGAUGACGUCAAAUCAGCACGGCCCUUACAUCCGGGGCGACACACGUGUUACAAUGGCAUGGACAAAGGGCAGCUACCUGGUGACAGGAUGCUAAUCUCCAAACCAUGUCUCAGUUCGGAUCGGAGUCUGCAACUCGACUCCGUGAAGCUGGAUUCGCUAGUAAUCGCGCAUCAGCCAUGGCGCGGUGAAUACGUUCCC
rnacentral:rRNA from 1 species